GCUACUUCCUUAAACUUUAAAGAAGCAAAGGUCCCUGUGUCAGACAGUGGAGUUGCUUCGGUUUAGAAGGAACUCAUGCAUGAUAACCAAAGCGAAAACACAGACUUACUCCUUGUUGGUUUCCAGGUUCCCUGGACCUGAGCCACGAAUGAAGAAGGGGUUGGUCCCUGAGGAAGGAAGGAUGAUCGGAGGUGCCAUGGAGCCGCCAUGUUUGAUGAGGCUGGGAGUGGCUGAGGGACGACGGAUCGGACGUUGGGAUUUGGAAGCCCGGCAUUCUACGCUGAGCGCAAACAGACCACCGAGUCGGGGCAGCUGGCCCCGCGAUGCUCUUUGGUGAAUGGUUUUGCGUCACCCCGAAGUCAGAGCGUCCCUGUCCUUGCUCUGCCUGCUCGGCACUAACCUGGCCACGCUUAUCACCCCAAAUCGGGACAUCGAGUUUUCCACUUGCGAGAAGACUCCAGCUCACGAAGUGCCUCUCUCCCUCUGUGAAGGCGAGUAACCAAGCCGAAAUGUUCAGCCAAAAAAAGCGUUUGCCGACAUCGCUUUAAAGUAAUCAUCUCCCCUCAAGGCCGGCCGCUCUUUCACAGGCACCCCAUCCUGCCGCUGGGAAAGCAAACCUUUUCUGCGCUCAUUCUGGGCCUCCACCGGAACGGUCCGGUAACUGAAAGUCAUUUUGGGUUUUGGUCACCCUCCGGGCUACGGGCCCAUUACCCAUCCACUGUGCUACCGAAAUCCGGGGUGAGGAGAGGUCCCGGGGGAGAUGUGAAGAGCCAGCGGCUGGCUUUGGCCUGAGCAGCUGAGCCUUGGCCUGCGGCCUUGGCUCCCUUGCCCCCAGGACUGAUAGAGCCUGUGCAUGUCUGUCCCCACGGCUUCUCUGUGUUCUUGGGGCCCGUGUGGACUGGUGUGGGACAGGAGGAGAGUGAGGGGGACCUGAGCCCCAUCCGGGGUCUCCAUGCUUCCAGUCUGCCUCAAGUUGUCCGGGAAAGGCUGACCCAUAUUCCACAUACCAGCUCUGAGCAGGACACAUCUGCUCACUCCUCCUCCCCUUCCUCCUCCUGUUCUCCCUCCUCCCCCUCCUCCUCCUUCCUCGGCCAACAGGGCAGCCAGACCUGCAUACCCGGCCUCUCUCGUCAGCCUGCUGGCACGAUGGGGCUCAAGGGGGCCGCCAGGGGGUGAGCACCCCCAGUCUGAACCUCCUGGCCUUCUCCCAUCGCGUGCCCUCCAGGAGCACGGCAGUAACCAGAAGGGUACGGAAAAGUCCAUCUCUUGGGCUUGUUCACAAUUAUUUCCUUCCAGCCUUGGUUUUUGGAAUGCUUUGCUGCGUUUCUUUUGAGUGGGCAGAUGGCAGGAUGCUGGGGGUGUAAAACAGCUAUGAAAAACAAGAUGAUUCCGACAGAAGGAGUAUGUACAGCCCCUGCUGGACCAUCCCAAUAUUAAUCAGGAGAACUGGCCUUUUGUUUUUGUUUUCGUUUUUUCCCCUGGGAUCUUUAAAGUUUGCGUGCCUUCUCUCUGCUUUCCAAAAAAAAAAAAAAAAAAAAAAAAGGAUAAUACGUAAAUGCACCACUUUAAGGGCUUCAGCUGGGAAAGCUGGUGUCAUUUUUGGGAUUCAGUUUAUUGCGAGGAUGAGCUCGAGCUGAAGGACCUUAGAGCAAGACCCGUGGCUUCGGGGAGGAACGCGAAAAUGGAGCUUCGGGAGAGAAAAGCCGACGGCGGGUCACCAGCGCUGGUGCCCGUCCAUGGUGCAGGAGCCGUGCCUGAAAGAGAUAAUUUCAAGUUGAGCUGUGGUUUACCGCGGUGUCCUCGUGAUCGGCUGAGUGGUCAGAUGUCAGGGGUGACUGAAAAUAAGUUCAUUUUCCCACAGUGAGAGAAAAAAGAAGAAGGAGGGGGAAAAAAAAAAGGAACAGCCCUGCCCGUAUGAAACAAAUACUUGCACAUUUCAGAGUCUGGCCGGAGCAGGCUUGAACGUGCACCAUCACGCAUGUGACUUUUGUGAAGCCAGCCGGGGAAGAAACGACAAUUAUUGCCCUGGAUUAGCCUAACACAUUACCCCUCCCCCGCCACCCCCGUUGAGCACAGACGGUCUUUCACGGGGCGAUCGCUGCGCCCCACUGUUGGGCCAACUCGGAAGAUCUUUGGGGAAACGAGGGUGGCGCGUCUAUGUCAUUAUGUCGCCGGUGGGGAUAAGGGAAGGACGGGUGGAGCGUCUGGUGAUCCCACCCCGCAAGUGUGGGACUGAACACCGACCAAGGGUUCUCUAGACCUUCCUACCCGACCCUCUGGUGCCUCCGGGCUUUAUGAAGGUGCGCGAGCUGGGUGUGCGUGAGGGCUCUGGGACUCAAAGUGUUAAAGUGGCCUCUGCAAUGGCGAAAAACGGCUUAACCGCAGACUCAUCCUGUGUUGGCCUAGUUGUGUGCUUCUGUGUGUGUGUGUGUGUGUGUGUGUGUGUGUGUGUGUAAUUUUUUCUUCCUUUUCAAAUACUAUUCUCUUUCAUGAUCUCAUUUCCUAAAAUGUCUCUUUUCUGAUUCAGUGAGAGGGAUUCCAUGGUUCACCACCCAGCACAGGGUACUUCCUUCCAUCACAGAUACCAGAAAAGCACUGAAGAUCUCAAAGGUGGAAACACAGAGCAUCAAAGCACCGAUCCGAAGGCCAGAGGCUUGAUUUGGAAAUCACACACCGGGCAGCCGCAAACCCCGCGUCCCGAUGCCUUUUCUUUUCUCUUGUCCUUUUGUUCCUAAUGCAAUGCAUUCUGACCCCAUCUCUUCCAUCCCACUGAGCCCGCAGCACCUUGAGCGGUUCAGUGGCCGUAAACUCCCCUGCCGACUCUGUUUUGGCUGGAAUCGCAACCCACAUAUGGGAGAAUCCUGCCGAAACAUCACAGAGCUAACAGCGCGCCUCCGUGCAGUGGUGGCCGGUCAGCAGAAAAAGGUGACAUCAUGGCUAUUCCAGGACUUCAGGUCCGCAGCACAAAGUGACUUCCCUGCUCUACAUCAGAGUCAGAACUUGGAUUCGAGACAAAAACAACCCUCCCUUCCCAUAAAUAUCUGCUCUGGGGCUCAAGACUAUUCGAAGCGCAACGGCUCAGAAAUGGUCCCUUUCCGUGGAGACCCGUCUGAUUUUCCAAAUCCAAUCACAAACUUUUUAAUAGCAUGUCAUGAACCUCUCAGCUCAUUAUUUCUCUUCAAAGCCCUCCGGUUUGCCAGCUUAGAGCCUGUCAAGUGUUGUUUGAUGAUGGACUACGCCAUAAAUAAACGCAUAGGACAUGCUAGAAAUCCACCCUUCACUACUUCUGGCUUUGCCGCCAGGAAUACUGCCAUAUAAUCAGGGAUGUGUGAUUUGUGGCAAUUGCUCUGGAUCGAGGGUUGUUUUUUUUUUUUUUUUUUUUUUUUAACGUGUCCAGUGUGUAAUGUAGGUAAUAUAACAGAUUUAUCACCUUUACAUAAAUCCCAUUUGUUUUUCCCCUUCCUGUUCCUUCUACCCCCUCUCACGGUUAGGACGUUGGAGCAAAGAGUAGGAAUAUAGACAAACCCUCUGAAAUAGCAAUCAUGGCCUUACCCCUUCCUUCCAGCAGGAAAUCAAGGCACUGGAUAAGUUACUACACCUCUAAUAUCCACUGUUCCCUCCGAUGUUUUUAAGUUGUGAGCAGACAACCAUUUUACAUGGGUAACUGGCCAUGAAGGUCAGCACCAGCAGGGAGGUUACUGUUGUAAUCAAAUAAAGCUCAUAGACGCUAAUCUGA